UACGAAGGGGGCUAGCGUUGCUCGGAUUGACUGGGCGUAAAGGGCGCGUAGGCGGCGGACACAGUCAGACGUGAAAUUCCUGGGCUCAACCUGGGGGCUGCGUUUGAUACAUGUCUGCUUGAGUUCGGAAGAGGGUCGUGGAAUUCCCAGUGUAGAGGUGAAAUUCGUAGAUAUUGGGAAGAACACCGGGUGGCGAAGGCGGCGACCUGGUCUUUUACUGACGCUGAGGCGCGAAAGCGUGGGGAGCAAACAGG
rnacentral:rRNA from 1 species